CAGAGGUAAUGGUCAGGCUUCACCGAUGAGGCAAAAUCCAUCGUUUAGAAACUUCUGCUCUCAAUUUCGCACUAAAAGCUUCCUCAGCUUCUUAUGCUUGGAUGCAUGAAUGAGCUUUCUCUUCAUUUAUGUUUGCAUCAGCAACCACAUAUGCAUCAUGGGUGGGCACAGGCUAUGUUUUGCUAUUGAUCGCUCAAAGGUCAUGACCUUACAGCCCUAAUUCAUUGUGAUGAUACAGACAAAUGAUUUAAAGCAAGGUGAAUCCAUCUUUAAGACAUACAGUAUAAUUUGAGUUUUCAGUUUCACAAUACAAAUGCUAAUUGCGCCAUGUACCAUAUAAUAUAUUACACUAUAUAAUUGUAGAGUUUAGCGUUUCGAUUUCUCUGACACUGACCUUCCUUUACAAGUCUAUCUGGCAACCGCUCCACCCCUGCACAGGUGGGUCCCAUUGUGGCAUGUGUGUGCUGUUUGGUUUUCUGCUGUACUGUUGGCAUGAUGAGGGUAAUUGGAGUGUUGGUCUGGUGAAUCAGUGCCAGCCUGGGUGGGCAGAUUGCAUAUGAUGAUCAUGUUCUGACCAGAUGGCUAGCUGGCACAAGGGCUUAGACUGGAAGGAUGUGUAUAUGUACGUUCAUUUGUGUGUGUGUGCCAGGGAAGGUUUAGUGGGUGAAAACAGCAAAUCAUUGCAUUUGCUCAUUUUGAUACAUAUCUUUAAAUUUUACUUAUAUAAAGCCACACACACAAGGCCUCACAAGAGUAGGUCGGAUGAAGAUUUUUUUUUUUUUUUUAAGCAACACCUACAAACAGAUUCUUAGUUUCUGGCGACUACAUCAGUUUUUCUGAGCUAGAAUUUAGUUUUCAGUCUGAACCGGCCUGUUUUUGCGUCAAAAGCUGCCACGCUGUCAGUAUUUGACGCAAGAAAUCUGACAGACUGUCCUUUGGCAUUAAUGCUGUAGAGUACCAGUUUAUGAAAUUAGUAAAACCUCCAACUCAACACAUAUGGGCACUUCUUAAGGACCUCUUGGUGUAUAAGUAAACACAGUAGGGUGCUGUAGGCAUCAUUUUUUAACAUGCGGGUUUAAUGUUUGCAGCAGUACAUUUUAUCCCAAGCCACAAUUUUUCUUUCUCUUAACCAAGUAGUUUUUGGUGCCCAAGCCCAUCUGGCAAGUAAAAAUAAAAAGGGAGCGAAAAAGGAAAAUAAUUGAAAUGAAAAAAAGAAUCAAGUGAAUAUACAAACACAAAGCUUCUAAAGAGGACACUGUCACGAUGUCCUGGCUGAAAACUUGUGAGUGAUGCUAGUGUCACCCAUCCAGCCUCUAAUGUAGGCACUGCCACUCUUUUAAAACUGGACAGAUUUCCACAGCUGGUGGAUCAACAAGGCUUAUUUCUCUGCUAAUGCA
ensembl:lncRNA